rnacentral:rRNA from 1 species
AUUGAACGCUGGCGGCAGGCCUAACACAUGCAAGUCGAGCGGAAGCACAGUAAUAGCUCGUGGUUACGGGGGGCGACGGGCGGACGAGUGAUAGGUACAUCGCAGGCUGCUGGGGCUUGGGUGAGGACGUAGGGGAACAUACGGUAUUAGCGCAUAGGGCGAACGGGGGGGAUCAGGGGAUCUUCGGACCUUAGGUGAGUCUAGGAGCCGAUGUCGGAUUAGCUAGUUGGCGGGGUAAAGGCCUACCAAGGCGACGAUCCGUAGCUGGUCUGAGAGGAUGAUCAGCCACACUGGAACUGAGACACGGUCCAGACUCCUACGGGAGGCAGCAGUGGGGAAUAUUGGACAAUGGGCGAAAGCCUGAUCCAGCCAUGCCGCGUGGGUGAAGAAGGUCUUCGGAUUGUAAAGCCCUUUUGUUUGGGAAGAAAAGCAGCAGGUUAAUACCUCGCUGUUUUGACGGUACCAAAAGAAUAAGCACCGGCUAACUUCGUG